UUCUGCACACUGUGUUUGAACUAAACGACAUACUCUAAAGUCUGACAAUUAAAAGUUAUGCUGGAAAAUUCAUUAAAGAAAUGGAGCCUAGUCUGCUAUCCAAUUCAUGCAAGCAGGAUAGAAGUUUGGAAUGUUCAUGCGAAUUUUCAAGUCUUGCCCAAAGUGGCUGUGAGAGAGGGGGGGGGCAUUUAUAUGAUAGUUGUGAGCUGUAAGCACAAUAUUGAUAGGAAAUGCUAGUGUGUUCAAGGAGACAGCCCCUAGCCCUUCUGCUGUUAGCUUGGGUAAGGUUAACUUCUUUACAAUAUUCAAAUAUCAAACCGCAUCUCUAUCCAACAGCUUUGAGAAGGGUAACUUCUUUACAACAUUCAAAUAUCAAAC
rnacentral:lncRNA from 1 species